GGCGGUGUAGCUCAGUUGGUUAGAGCAGCGGAAUCAUAAUCCGCGUGUCGGGGGUUCAAAUCCCUCCACCGCCA
rnacentral:tRNA from 1 species